UACGGGGGGGGCAAGCGUUGUUCGGAAUUACUGGGCGUAAAGGGCGCGUAGGCGGUUGGAUAAGUCAGCUGUGAAAACCACGGGCUUAACUCGUGGCCUGCAGUUGAGACUGUCUGGCUUGAGUGUGGGAGAGGAGAGUGGAAUUCCUGGUGUAGCGGUGAAAUGCGUAGAUAUCAGGAGGAACACCGGUGGCGAAGGCGGAUCUCUGGGCCUUACCUGACGCUCAGGUGCGAAAGCUAGGGGGAGCGAACAGG
rnacentral:rRNA from 1 species